rnacentral:SRP_RNA from 1 species
GCCGGGCAUGGUGAUUCAUGCCUGUAAUCCUAGCACUUUGGGAGGCUGAGGCAGGUGGAUCACUUGAGGUCAGGAGUUCAAAACCAGCCUGGCCAACAUGGUGAAACCCUGUCUCUA